CCUACGGGAGGCAGCAGUGGGGAAUAUUGUACAAUGGGCGGAAGCCUGAUCCAGCAACGCCGCGUGAGGGAUGACGGCCUUCGGGUUGUAAACCUCUUUCAGCACAGACGAAGCGCAAGUGACGGUAUGUGCAGAAGAAGGACCGGCCAACUACGUGCCAGCAGCCGCGGUAAU
rnacentral:rRNA from 1 species